rnacentral:lncRNA from 12 species
AUGCUUCUCUGGUCCCCGUCUUCAGAGCUGCUCGGAGCUCACCCCCCAGGAGCCUGCCAGGAGCGAGAGGAACUGAACUUCAGCGAGGCGGAAGGCGAUCCCCACUCUGCCCAGGUGCUGCUUCCCCCGGGGCUCGGGGCUUGGCAGGCGCAGCACCCCAGUCUGCGCAGCCGAGGUGAGCCUGUGAGGCAGGAAGGCCCCCUCGUCCACUGCCAGGCCCGGGUCGCCCCCAGGCAACGUAGCUCCUGCUGCCUGCUCAAGCUCUUCUGCCUCUCAGGCCAGCGAAACUUCCCUGCAGAGAUCACCGCGUGCUACCCAGGAUGGUGACAGAUCCCAAAGAUGAAUUUCAUUGUGUUGAACAUGGCCCAUUGCAUUUAAAAUGAGAGCCAAGAAGAAACCACCCCUCACUGAUGGUAAGUGUCUGGGGAAAGGAACUGUCUGUCCUACAUAUUCUCGUGAGGGUGCACACUGUGAUGUUAUGAAACUUGGGGAAGACAGUUUGGCAAUAAAUAGCAAAAACUAUGUCCUUUGACCCA